ensembl:snRNA U6 U6 spliceosomal RNA
GUGCUUGUUUUGGCAGCAUAUAUACUAAAACUGAAGUGAUACAGUGAAGAUUAGCACGGUCCCUGUACGAGGAUGACAUACAAAUUGUGAAACAUUCCAUAAUUGU